rnacentral:tRNA from 1 species
GCUUUUUUGGCGGAACUGGUAGACGCGACAGACUUAAAAUUUGUUCUUUUAUAAGGUAUUGGUUCAAGUCCAAUAAAAAGCA